UACGUAGGGUCCGAGCGUUGUCCGGAAUUACUGGGCGUAAAGAGCUCGUAGGUGGUUUGUCGCGUUGUUCGUGAAAACUCACAGCUUAACUGUGGGCGUGCGGGCGAUACGGGCAGACUUGAGUACUGCAGGGGAGACUGGAAUUCCUGGUGUAGCGGUGGAAUGCGCAGAUAUCGGGAGGAACACCAGUGGCGAAGGCGGCUCACUGGACCGGUACUGACGCUGAGGCGCGAAAGCGUGGGGAGCAAACAGG
rnacentral:rRNA from 1 species